rnacentral:rRNA from 1 species
GCUUAUGGCAUAACUGCUUUUUGCAAGCCUGUUCUCUUCUGACCACAGAGGCUAAUAGGGUCACGCUUGGUUAGCACAUGAAUGAAACCACCUUGGAUGCCAAGUACUGUACAUA